rnacentral:rRNA from 1 species
GAUGAACGCUGGCGGCGUGCCUAAUACAUGCAAGUCGAACGCUGAAGCUUGGUGCUUGCACCGAGCGGAUGAGUUGCGAACGGGUGAGUAACGCGUAGGUAACCUGCCUGGUAGCGGGGGAUAACUAUUGGAAACGAUAGCUAAUACCGCAUAACAGUAGAUAUUGCAUGAUAUCUGCUUGAAAGGUGCAAAUGCAUCACUACCAGAUGGACCUGCGUUGUAUUAGCUAGUUGGUGAGGUAACGGCUCACCAAGGCGACGAUACAUAGCCGACCUGAGAGGGUGAUCGGCCACACUGGGACUGAGACACGGCCCAGACUCCUACGGGAGGCAGCAGUAGGGAAUCUUCGGCAAUGGGGGGAACCCUGACCGAGCAACGCCGCGUGAGUGAAGAAGGGUGUCGGAUCGUAAAGCUCUGUUGUAAGAGAAGAACGAGUGUGAGAGUGGAAAGUUCACACUGUGACGGUAGCUUACCAGAAAGGGACGGCUAACUACGUG